UAGCCUACGCCGCUCAGUUGCAUACAGCUACACCAGCGCCGCUCAACGGAUGAUUCAUGCAAGUUGACAACUCUGUCAAGUUUCAGUGAGGUUUUGAAUAGGACAGUGAAAUGUGGUCAUGUUUUUUUGCGUGCUAGUGGACAUAAUCGUUUAAACUAAAGACAGGAAUUUGUAACAUGUUAUGAUAAUAACUGAGAAUUGUUACUGUGCGUUUGAAAACGUGUUAAUAUUGAAAUCGUGUGCGGAAAAGUUGUAACAGUGCGUAACAUUUAUCAGACAUACGCGUGACAGUGCAACAACUGACGUUUUGAGCGGAUCCAAUGCGUGCAAACGAACAACAGUGUAGAUCUGUAGAUAAAUAUAAUUUUGAAGAGCUUGUAGUAACUCUGGCAGUAGAAAACAAAGUGUACAUUCCACAGAACGCUAUAGGAAUAUGCUUAAUAAGGAAAGCUUGGGUAUUCAACAGGAAGAUUCAGAAGGAGCUGCUGGAUGAACCUGUGUCCAGUCACAAUACAGGGAUUCGUAUUCACAUCCUGUUGAGGGUUCCUCUAUGAGCUCUCGUAUCAGCAUAUUUGGAAAGGUCUGGGCUAUCAACUUUGAAACCAAGAAUUUGAAUCGAAGAUGGCAUAUCGAUGCUUCGCUUCAUACUGUCAUCCUCAAGAAGGACCGAAUGCUCUUCUAUGUGUACUCACCAAGAAGUCUGAGGACUCUCCACUUCUAAUGAAAUCAAAUCCUGGCCAUCAAGCUCAUAGCUCGUCACUACACCGACUGAUUUAUCAACGGAAUGUAUACAACGCUUAGGUGUGUUUCCGGUCCUGACCAGAUGCAAGGAGUUCUCGAGGAUGUCACCACCUAACGGUCUGUAUGUCGGUCUAUCGUUGCAAGGCAAUGACUAGGUGAAGAUGUUCCCGCGGCAACGAAGAAUUGUUGGUGUCUCUUCUGUGCGUUCCCUGUCUUAUGAAAGGAAAUCAGGUGAUGAGUUUU